AGGACUAACGCUGGCGGCGUGCCUAACACAUGCAAGUCGAACGGGCUGUAGCAAUACAGCCAGUGGCAGACGGGUGAGUAACACGUAGAUAACCUACCCCUCCGUUGGGGAUAGCCACUGGAAACGGUGGGUAAAACCGAAUAUUCUCAUUUGAAGGCAUCUUCGGGUGAGGAAAACUCUGGUGUGGAGGGAUGGGUUUGCGACCUAUUAGCUAGUUGGUGUGGUAAUAGCGCACCAAGGCGACGAUGGGUAACCGGUCUGAGAGGACGGUCGGUCACACUGGCACUGAGAUACGGGCCAGACUCCUACGGGAGGCAGCAGUGAGGGAUUUUGCACAAUGGAGGAAACUCUGAUGCAGCGACGCCGCGUGCGGGACGAAGCCUUUCGGGGUGUAAACCGCUGUCAGUGGGGAAGAGUAGGGACGGUACCCACUGAGGAAGCAUCGGCUAACUACGUGCCAGCAGCCGC
rnacentral:rRNA from 1 species